UUUUGUUACUAUUAUCAUUACUUGCUCGUUACAAAAUAUCUUGCUAUCAAACUACUUUGUUACUUACAAUUUUCGCAUUUACACACAUUACCUCACUGAAAACCACUUGUCAUUUCCUUCUGCUCCUCGUUGGAUUCGACACUCUUACUUAUCGAAAAGAGCUACAAUUGAUCCCUAUACUUGCGGGUCAUCAAUAUCCUAAUCAUGCUAGUAUCCAAUCUUUCUCUAAUAAUAAAGCGAUUAUCGCUUCUGCCCGCUUGCUCACCGUCGUCGCACUUUUGCUAAAAAGACCCUGUUGUUUUUUAUUAUUCAACCCGCAAUCCUCAUGUUAAGUAAAUCAGAACCGGUAUGUAUGAACAAAAAAAACACCAGCACGAUCCUGACUCCCUCGAUCCCAUCUCCACCUCCCUAGCGCUGCCACCUCCUGCAACGCCACACCCUGCAUCACCGUGCGCAGCCACCUCCUGCAACGCCACACCCCGUAUCACCGUGCGCCACCGGCCGCUGCGUGCCACCGCCGCCCAUCCAGCCGGCGCGCCUACCCCUACCCCACGUGCCCCCACACCCGUGGCCUUCCACCGCCGGUUACAGUCGACGCCGCGCACGACCCUGCCUCACCACGCGCCGCCGGCCCGCCCCCGUGGGUGCACGCCGUCGGUCCCCCGCGCCCUGCCGGACCGCCUACCGUCGCCGGCUCUCCCCGCCCCGGGGUCUCAUCUCUCCCUGAGAUCCUCUCCAACCCGGGCCAUCCGCCACCCCCAGCCUCCUCGAUCUGCAGCCUCCUGCUCCCCCAGCGGGCGCGAGGGAUCUCGGGUCGCCGUCGCCCUUCGGGAGCUCCAUCUCCUCCCUGCCUUCUUUCCAUGGCGUGAGGCCUUGAGGAACCAAGUGACGUACGUCAUCACGAAUUCACGAUGGAGAUACCGUGCUGUUGCGUGUCCUCGUGUCUCCAGGGGCGUCCUCGGUCCCAGCCACCCAUCAUCAAGAUUCAGCGUCCUCUCUCCUCCUUCCGUUUAAUGUACAGGCUUACAUACGUGCUGCUGGCCGCUGCCCUGUUACCCCCACCGCCAACAGGGUCGUCCAUGACCAGGCCCCCAAGCUACGGAGUGACAUGCUGCUGCUGCUGCCCACCACCAUCUGUAAGACAUGGAAAUCUAGGAAGUUGCAGGUUUGUGCGACACUAAUGCUCGCCAUGAUUUUGCUGAAAUGCUCCCAUGUAGAUAUCUAGAUAUAUAUAACGUUCAUGUUCAUAUAUUAAGUAUUUGUAAAAUGUUCAUGUACAAUGUCAGUAUGCAACAAUAAAUCACAGCUCCCAGCAGUUGUACUUACCAUUA